UGGAACAAUGUAGGUAAGGGAAGUCAGCAAGCCGGAUCCGUAACUUCGGGAUAAGUAUUGGCUGUAAGGGCUGGGUCGGUUGGGCUGGGUGCAUGCCACCGCUGGAAGAGGCCCUGCAGCGCCCCCAUGCCCCAGGGACGCCUGUCGUGGCCCUCCUCUGCCCCAACCCGCGUGCUGCUCGCUCCCUCCCCCGCCCCCUCUCUCCCUGUCCUCCCCCUCUCUGGUGGUGGCGUGUGGGGGAGGAGGGGUGGCGGUGGCUAUACGGCCCCGGUGGCAGGGCAUGAUCUCCCGUGAGGGGGAGCUGGUGGUGGCGGUGACUCUGGACGCGAGCCAGGCUCUUCCCAUGGAUUGCCCCAGUUGUGGCCGCCCAUGGGGAGCCCGGUGGGUGCUGGCGUGUCCUGUCUUGCUCCGCGCUGUCAUGCAUUUCAGCGCGGGCAGGGAGUGAUUGGGUGUCGGUGGGUGGCGGGCGGGGUGGUUCAUUCCCCCACCUCCCCCCGGCCCCAUCUGUCUCCUGUUCCCCACUCCGUGGAGGUGGCGGGCCACGUGCUGGUCCCUGCCACCAGGGCGGCGGUUCCGUGCAGCGCCUCGGCUGGUGCUUAGCAGUCGACGUAUAGAACUGGUGUGCACCAGGGGAAUCCGACUGUUUAAACAAAGCAUCGCGAAGGCCCUCGGGGGGUGUUGCAAAGUGAUUUCUACCCAGUGCUCUGAAUGUCAAAAUGAAGAAAUUCAAUGAAGUAUGGGUAAAUGGCGGAAGUAACUAUGGCUCUCUUAAGGUAGCCAAAUGCCUCGUCAUCUAACUAGUGACGUGCAUGAAUGGAUGAAUGAGAUUCCCACUGUCCCUACCUACUUACUAUCCAGUGAAACCACAGCCAAGGGAAUGGGGUUGGUGGAAUCAUUGGGGAAAGAAGAACCUGUUGAGCUUGACUGUAGUCUGGCAUGGUGAAGAGACAUGAGAGGUGUAGAAUAAGUGGGAGGUCCCCGGUGCCCCCUAUCCCCGUGAGGGGGUGGGGUGGGGUCCUGUGGGCUGCCCAUGGAAUACUACUACUCUGAUCAUUUUUUCACUGAUCUGGUGAGGCAGGGGGUGAGCCCCGAGGGGCUCUCCCUUCUGGCGCUAAGUGCCCAGCUGCAUGCUGGCCGGGUGUUGACCCAUUCUGAGGACAGUGCCAGGUGGGGAGUUUGGGGCAGUACACCUGUUGAACAGUAAUACAGAUGUCCUAAGGCGAGCUCAGGGAGGACAGAAACCUCUUGUGGAGCAGAAGGAGAAAAGCUCGCUUGAUUGUGAUUUUCAGUGCGAAUACAGACUGAAAGCCGGGUUUGACGAUCAUUCUGACGUUUUUAAGCAGGAGCUGUUAGGAAGUUACCACAAGGGAUAACUGGCUCGUUGCGGCCAAGCGUUCAUAGGGAUGUUGCUUUUUGAUCCUUUAAUGUUGGUUCUUCCUAUCAUUGUGAAGUAGAAUUCACCAAGCAUUGGAUUGUUCACCCACUAAUGGGGCAUGUGAGCUGGAUUUAGACCUUCGUGAGACAGGUUAGUUUUACCCUCCGUGAUGUGUGUUGUUGCCAUGGUAAUCCUGCUCAGCAUGAGAGGAAUCACAGGUUCAGACAUGUGCUUGGUUGAGGAGCCAAUGGGGUGAAGCUACAGUCUGUUGGAUUGUGACUGAACGCCUCUAAGUCAGAAUCCCGCCCAAGAGGAAGGAUACAUCA
rfam:Homo sapiens chromosome 20, GRCh38 reference primary assembly.